GAGGGAAUGAUGCUUGGACCACCUACCCAGGGACAAAAGAAUGCUGACUUUUUUUGUACAUCUUUAAAGUGGGGAUGAUGGAUAUAAACGUUGUUGAUGCUUAUCGGAUGGCAUGCUUCUUCACUACGUCGGUGUCUUUUUUAAUUGCCAAAGGAGAUGGUCUUGAGAAAAUAAAGUAGUGCUGAAGAUAAGUUAUGGAUACCACUGCUGCUGCCUUCUAAACUGAUGUAGUUUUAAUAAGUACGUGAACAAUAAACAUAAACGUGGAUUCUCGCUGGUGUAUGCACGAACGUGCCCUCUCCCGAACCCAGGGAAAUACUAACAGCCAUACCAGCCAUUUAGGUUAUUUUAUAAGUUUGGAGCCUCAUUUGGUGAACCUUAACCUUGCUGGAUCUAUGGCAACCAAAGAAAGUUGUACACCUGCUUUAAGGAAAAUAACUUUGAAGUAAACGAAUUUAACCGGAAUAAAUGGAAGUGAAAACAUAUGACAGUAGAUCUCAUGGCUGUUUAAAUUAGAGCACGAUGACUUCGUGUAUGCACCUUCAGUAGGCAAAACUAAUAUGUUCCGAUUUUCGGUGAAUGGUUUAUGUUUAAAAUAAAUGCUUUGCAGAAUGACCGAAAAGCUGUUACAAGGGAUAUAAAGGAUAUAAAGAAUAACCCAACUACAAUGAAAAGUUUAUUUUUGCAGCAUGUUUCCUGCAGUUUUUCUGGUGCAGCCCAUGGUAAGUAUAAGGAAGAAACCUGGAAAUUUUAAAAUCAAAAUGGUAAUUCCUGCUGGGAAUGAUGGAGACAGAGGAAAUCAGGAAAAGGAGAGCACAGAGGAAAGCAUCCUAGCAAUGCUUGGGAUAAUAGGAACCAUUUUAAAUUUGUUGGUAAUAAUAUUUGUGUAUAUUUACACCACGUUAUAAAACACUCUGCAGAUAAGCAUGAAAUGAAUUGCUCCUUAGCAGUGUGUAAAAGCCAUACUGACACUCUUUAUUAAACUGACUCUGGGCAAUAGCAUUGUAGCUCGUUUCCUGGGGCCAUGAAUCACACAAGAACAAGGAGAAAUACAGCCAUUCUGUCAUACCUAAUACUGACUGCACUGCUAAUGGCAUGUCUCAUUGUUUUUAAACUGUGUUUUCAGCUGCAGGGUUGCAUAGAAAAGGACCAUCACUUUAUAUGCUCUGCAUUCAUUCGUGCGGAACUCAGUAGUAUGGCAAACAAACAAAUGAAAGACAGUGUGUUAAACAGAAAAAAACAGCAGUAUGUCAAAGCACAUUUGAUUUUAGACACUAUUUUAUAUGCGCACUUGCAAAGACAACCCAAGUGGCUCAAACAUAUUAGCCAACAUUUCACUUCAGUGAUGUUUUAUAUAAUCUAAAUCUAUCAUCUUCAAGGCAAUGAUAUAAAUACAUUAUCUUUUGUUGCAGAAUUUAUAAAAGCAUGUUCUCUGCUUUACUUACAGUCAAUAUAAUUUUUAAACAGAGAAAAAGCUUUCAGUAUUACUUUUAUGAUUAAUAUUUGAUUGUACUUGUAAGGUUUGUCUGUAUAUGGUUUUCGUAUUUUAAUACAUCUAGUGCUCAGAUAUGAGUCUCUGUUAAAACAAAUCUCAUGUUUCUAACACCAAACAAGAAGCUAUCAUGAGGAUUCAAGAUUUCACAUGAUUAAGAAAUGUUACUUGCAUAUUUCCAGUUCUAAACUAUUUAGUUCUGAGAAAAGAUAAACCAUGUUUGCACAAUUAACGUUUACAAAGCUGUUUACAGUAUAGUUUUUAACAUAACAUCCAUAUGCAACAUCAUCACUAUAUGAAACUACAAAUGGUUCUGCCAUAAUAAGGCAUGCAUAAUGAAUAACCUGCUUUAAAGCUUGGUUUGAUUUGGAAAUUAAUUAAUGCUACAGGUGCAUCUUGGGGCACACGAUAAGUGUUACCUGUUAAAGAAGUUAACUGCUUAUCAGUCUACGUAUAGAGUUAAAAAACUAUAAAAGUGAUAACAUUACAGUAUUAUCAGCAUAUUGUUCAUAACAGUUUAUUUUUAUCAACUCAGUAGGUCAAAUUGCACAGUACAGUGUAUUGAUUUUAUAGUAGUCUAUGUAAGAAAUGCAUAGUGAUAUUGGUUUUGCAAUUGUGUUACGAUGCAAUAAUUAUAGUAUUGCAAGCUUUAUGUCAGGUUGUACAACUUAAGACAUCACUUCUAGGAACAUAUGAAUUGUACACUUUCUUUUAAAUGUGCCAAGCACUGCUGUUAAGUAUCACAGAAGUUCGUUUAAGGAACCAUGUUAUAUUUCAUUUUGAAGAAAUGCAUCACGUCAUUUUUCUCUGCAUGUUAAUAGAUAAAUAACAGCAUUUGCAUGUUAACUGCAUUCAGUUUUAUGGAGUUCUGUAACUUCAAAUACAAAACAGUUAAAAAAUGUCAGUAAAAAGGACAAAUGUAAAAUGCUAAGCAAUCACAAAUACAUAAACACUGUAUAAUAUAUUUUACAAUAAUAUUCUCUCUGUAUGCAUGGGAGUGAAUCCAGGAUCCAGGAUUCUCUCUGUGUUCUCUUAAUGAGUCCAGAACUGCAUUUUGGCAUAUCAUUUACAUAAACAGUACUAUGCCAUAUGGGUUUACACAUUUUUAAUUUUCUUGAGGAAAAGUAAAGACAAUGAAUGCAUAUUUAGUAAGCAGAGUGUUUGUAUCCCAGUCCUGUGUGUGGAGUCUUCAAUUGUUCAUUUUUAUUCUAAGCACUGCUUUUUAAUUAAACUUAAUUUACAUAUUACUUGCACUCAUAGACAUUUUAUUAAGUAUAUAGUGAAAAACAGCCAAUUUGUCAAAUAAAUCAUUCCUAAAAGUCAUGUCUUAUUGCCAGAAUGAUA